rnacentral:tRNA from 1 species
UAGGGCGUAGCCAAGUGGUAAGGCAAUGGGUUUUGGUCCCAUGAUUCGCAGGUUCAAAUCCUGCCGCCCUAGCCA